AGGUGAUGUGGCUUGACUAUCUGCCAGCUCUUGGGUCACCAGAGGUGACGCUGCUAUCUGGCUGCCUAGACAGGUGUUUCCUUACUCCCUCACUGCACACCUCCAGAACCUGAGCACUCAGUCAAGAGGACCACGGUCCCCUAUAGAAGAUAAACAGUUCUGAAAAGGAUAUAUAAGAUUAGCUGCACUCACCUGCUAGAAAUUUCAGACAAGUUCACAAGAUCCUUUUAUUUUUAUUUAUUUAUUUAUUUAUUUAUUUAUUUUUGAGACAGGGUCUC
rnacentral:snRNA from 1 species